AACGAACGCUGGCGGCAUGCCUAACACAUGCAAGUCGAACGAGACCUUUGGGUCUAGUGGCGCACGGGUGCGUAACGCGUGGGAACCUGCCCUUAGGUUCGGCAUAACUCCCCGAAAGGGGUGCUAAUACCGGAUAAUGUCUUCGGACCAAAGAUUUAUCGCCUUUGGAUGGGCCCGCGUUGGAUUAGCUGGUUGGUAGGGUAAAAGCCUACCAAGGCGACGAUCCAUAGCUGGUCUGAGAGGAUGAUCAGCCACACUGGGACUGAGACACGGCCCAGACUCCUACGGGAGGCAGCAGGGGGGAAUACUGGACAAGGGGCGAAAGCCUGAUCCAGCAAUGCCGCGUGAGUGAUGAAGGCCUUAGGGUUGUAAAGCUCUUUUACCCGGGAUGAUAAUGACAGUACCGGGAGAAUAAGCUCCGGCUAACUCCGUG
rnacentral:rRNA from 1 species